CCUAACACAUGCAAGUCGAACGGUAACAGGAAGCAGCUUGCUGCUUCGCUGACGAGUGGCGGACGGGUGAGUAAUGUCUGGGAAGCUGCCUGAUGGAGGGGGAUAACUACUGGAAACGGUAGCUAAUACCGCAUAAUGUCGCAAGACCAAAGAGGGGGACCUUCGGGCCUCUUGCCAUCGGAUGUGCCCAGAUGGGAUUAGCUUGUUGGUGGGGUAACGGCUCACCAAGGCGACGAUCCCUAGCUGGUCUGAGAGGAUGACCAGCCACACUGGAACUGAGACACGGUCCAGACUCCUACGGGAGGCAGCAGUGGGGAAUAUUGCACAAUGGGCGCAAGCCUGAUGCAGCCAUGCCGCGUGUAUGAAGAAGGCCUUCGGGUUGUAAAGUACU
rnacentral:rRNA from 1 species